rfam:Dichomitus squalens LYAD-421 SS1 unplaced genomic scaffold DICSQscaffold_95, whole genome shotgun sequence.
AUUCUUGUGCUCGGGCACGUACUGUCGCCAGUGAGGUCUUUACCGAGGCACAGUCUUUUGCUGAUUGCAAAUUACACAUCCGAACACGUCUGUUAGCUUCGGCUUUCAGCAAUUUUUGGAACACCCCCUCCUCUCCUCUAUCCAGGAGAAUUUUUGUGU